UCGAUAAGUCUUAGUCGUGAAAAAUCCCAGUUAAUAUUAAUUCCGAUUGAAAGAUGUCCAGUUAAUAGUCUUUGUUACAUUUGCACAUAUGUAGGGCUAAAAGACUUUUGAAUGUUAAUAUUAUCAAGAAAUUUGAACACGUGUCGGACACGUUAUCAUCGGGGUGGAGGCAGUAAUAACCUCUGAAACGUCGAUCUAUUUCUACGACAUUACACGGCUCAACAACCCACAAGACAUUCAUCUUUAACAUAAAUACAUUUACAAAUAUUUGAAUUUAAAGACGAAUUUAUUGAAUAAAGUAUCACGGUAAGCCAUAAGUUUGUUCUGCCUUCAUGUAACGGCUAACGUGAUCCAAGCCUAGCGUAAAAGAAGGAGAAUAUUAUGGACAUGAUUUGGCAGACUGUGGAAAGGAAAUUUGUAGAUUUCUGUUGGAAACCUUCAGAAGAAGCCACCACAGGGAUGACCUAGUCAUAGAUGGUAGAGUACAAAUAGUAUUAAAAAUGGAUCAUGCAACUUCUGAAGUAACAAGAUUGUAAAUUCUGGAGACAAGGUGUGGUUACAGAGUCUUGUAGAGGAAAUAUCUUGGAAGUUAAAACAAGACUAAGAUGUGUUUUAAAAAAAUGGAUGAUGGAUGCAGUUGAAAUUGGUUAAUGCUAUUAGAGCCAUGAACUUGCGUCUAGCUGAUGUUUGCAGUUCGUUGAUGGUUAGGUCUGCUAUUAAGAAUGAGUGUUUUAAACGAAGGCUUGAGAGACCAAGUUUUGCAACCACACAAAAGAAGGACGAAGAGAUACGGAAAUAAUUUGUGCCGGUGGUAAAUUUAGCGGAUAGAGGUUGGCAGGAAGAGACUCUAAGGUUUUCCAUUGUUACGCACAGCAGUGACCUUGGAUCAGUCUAGUUCACCAAUGGCCUUGCGAGAUGUUACUGAGGAAGACCUCUAGAAUGUCAUUUCAGUAUUCGCGUGGAUUAUGUGUUUAUGAAUUAUGUUUACGUUUUGGUUAUACCUAUGUCUUCCUUUGUGCAGAUUAAAGUGGCUUUAGUGUCUUCGUUUGAAGUCUUUGUGAACAUAUUUUGAGGAGACGUUAGUAAUUUAGUGAUCUAA